rnacentral:tRNA from 1 species
AUUGCUAGCUCAGUUGGUUCGAGCACUGCACCGGAAUCACAGAGCCACAGGUUCAAUUCCUGCCAGAGGGAAUA